rnacentral:rRNA from 1 species
CUACGGGCCGCAGCAGUAGGGAAUAUUGGACAAUGGGCGAAAGCCUGAUCCAGCAACACCGCGUGCACGAUGACGGCCUUCGGGUUGUAAAGUGCUUUUAGAGGAGAUGAGAAAGGACAGUAUCCUCUGAAUAAGCCUCGGCGAACUACGUGCCAGCAGCCGCGGUAAAACGUAGGAGGCAAGCGUUAUCCGGAUUUAUUGGGCGUAAAGCGCGUGCAGGCGGUCUAGCAAGUUGGAUGUGAAAGCUCCCGGCUCAACUGGGAGAGGUCGUCCAAUACUGUUAGACUAGAGAAUAGGAGAGGGAGGUGGAAUUCCGGGUGUAGCGGUGAAAUGCGUAGAUAUCCGGAGGAACACCAGUGGCGAAAGCGGCCUCCUGGACUAUUUCUGACGCUAAGACGCGAAAGCUAGGGUAGCAAACGGGAUUAGAUACCCGCGUAGUC